CUCGUAGGCGGCUUGUCACGUCGGGUGUGAAAGCCCGGGGCUUAACCCCGGGUCUGCAUUCGAUACGGGCUAGCUAGAGUGUGGUAGGGGAGAUCGGAAUUCCUGGUGUAGCGGUGAAAUGCGCAGAUAUCAGGAGGAACACCGGUGGCGAAGGCGGAUCUCUGGGCCAUUACUGACGCUGAGGAGCGAAAGCGUGGGGAGCGAACA
rnacentral:rRNA from 1 species